AUCGUGCCCGCCGAUCAAGGUUCCGCGGCCGGGUUCCGGCUGUGGCUAAGAGGGAAUUCGGUGAGGCGUUCCACGCCGAUGCCGAAGCUGCCCCCGCAACUGUAAGCGGCGAGCUUUCCACCCAUCGUCCACUGGCGCGCCCGCGCCGGGAAGGCCGGGCGGAGUUGGCGUCGACCCGCGAGCCAGGAGACCUGCCCUGAUCGACUGAACGGU
rfam:Bosea sp. Root381 contig_8, whole genome shotgun sequence.